GGCUGAGUAGUGUGGCCUAUCCCAUCGAUGAGACUGCCAUCGAGAUUGCACCACCAUCGAUUGUUAGCUGUGUCAAGAUAGGAUAGCCGAUGGUCGACGACGUCAAUUUGAUGGAACAAUUGAGGUCAGUGAGAGAUCCUUCGAUUGUUGCUAGAGGCUGUAAACUACCUUCUAUUAGUAUCUUUCUUUGCUGCACGAAGGCAGCGAAUUGCUGAAUAUCUGCGAUGAUGACUGGAUGCAAAGAACUGGGCUCUAUCGAUGGAGGUGGGGG
rnacentral:lncRNA from 1 species